rnacentral:lncRNA from 1 species
CUGAGUGUCGGUCACUUCAGCAAAUCUUGAGCUUAGUUCUUCUUUUAACUGAGGCCAGGGUUUCCCCUGGGUCAAUUAUUUUUUUCGCCACCUCUUUCGCCAAAACAAUAUAUUUUUCGCCACAUUAUUAUUUUUUUCGCCAAGUAACAUAAAUACAUUUUUCGUUUAAAAUUUACCUUUUUUUCUACCCUCCCCCUUUCCCUCCUUCCCUUAAUUAAAUAAGAUGAUUUCGCCCUUUUGUACUAAGAAGUGGUUUUUACAACAAAACAAAAGCUUUUAUCACAUGAAAUUAAUCCCUUAUUUCAUGUGAAGUCAUUACGUUGAAGGAUUACUCUCAUUCGAGGGUUUGUUCCCAACCUUUUGGAUGUACUUCUUCAUAACGACAGUUUUCUUUUCUUGACCAUCAUAAAUGAAAAAGUUGAUACGUAAAACUAUGCUUGAAACCGUGACUUCUGUCACUCAAACGACUUUAAAGUAGUCUCCCUAAUAAAUUACUUUUAUUAAGUAAAUGGAUAAUUAAAGUUUUAAAUCGGAAAUUUUUCUUGGUUUUGAACAAUUUUCAUCACAACAACAGCUUUCUUUUCUGAACUAUCUUUAAAAGGAGAGAAGACGUCAAACGUUUGCUUCAAACACGUGCGUCACAAAGUGGUAAAUAAAUUCUGUAUGUGACAUUUAGUGGAAGCCAUUUAACCAUUUCAUUUUGUCAAACAAUUCAAUCAACACCUUUAUUAAUUAGUCCUUUGUUGUCGAUAGCUAUAUUUCCCCAAGGGUGACUGGGGUAUAGAAAUAUGGUCACUUGGUCUUCUCCCGACCGGCAGUAAAACGCUUGCUGAAGUGGGGCGUCCGUUUGGCUGUGCGGGAUGUAUCAAGUUCGCAGUCACGUCCGUCAGAAGGGGACGUUAAAUCCGAUGCCUCGUGUAAAGAGAGUGCCACGCUCUUUGCACGUUAAGAACCCUUGCAACAACUCUUUGAGGGGUCCGUAGGUGGCCUGUUGCAAGGCAAAAUUUCUGUCCCUAUCCAAUAUACCCUCAUUUUCCAGUGGCAGUCCAAAUUUCCCCGACCAUCAUCCUAGAUGGCCUCUAUUACAACAACC